rnacentral:rRNA from 1 species
AACGAACGCUGGCGGCAGGCCUAACACAUGCAAGUCGAACGCCGUAGCAAUACGGAGUGGCAGACGGGUGAGUAACGCGUGGGAACAUACCCUUUGGUUCGGAAUAACUUGAGGAAACUUGAGCUAAUACCGGAUACGGCAGAGAUGCGAAAGAUUUAUCGCCGAAGGAUUGGCCCGCGUUCGAUUAGCUAGUUGGUGAGGUAAUGGCUCACCAAGGCGACGAUCGAUAGCUGGUCUGAGAGGAUGACCAGCCACACUGGGACUGAGACACGGCCCAGACUCCUACGGGAGGCAGCAGUGGGGAAUAUUGGACAAUGGGCGCAAGCCUGAUCCAGCCAUGCCGCGUGAAUGAUGAAGGCCUUAGGGUUGUAAAGUUCUUUCGCCAGGGACGAUAAUGACGGUACCUGGAUAAGA